AGCUGUUAGUCUCCGAGAUAGAUGCGGUGCAAAAGUAACACAUCAGAGGAUCCAAACUCUUCUUUUUUUUCUAACCCAUUUUGUAACGUUACAGGCUCUCUUGCUAAAUAGGGCCAGUGAACCCAAACUCCUGUCUAAACCAAUUUCAUGAGGCUUAUAUGGCCCCUCCAAUCGCAUUGUUAAGAAUUGUCCAUUACCUUUGCAGUGACAUGAGCAUGACCUGAUUAGUAAACAUUCAAUUGCAAGGAAGCACAACUAUGAAACCUUUUGGCCCAAACAAAAUACCAAGUAAAAUAGGCGGCCUCUCAAACCUUGGCUAUCCAUCAAUCCAACAUCACAGUUUGGUCUAAUAGGCCCAAAUGGGCUUGAUAAUUAAAAACACUGACAAAGCAGCGCAACAAAAACCCCAACAAAAUUAGCUGAAAUGAGUGCACGAGUGUUUCCCACCUACCAAAAGAAAACACAAUCCUUCACCACCUUUUUUUAUCCAGAUCCCUUCCUCUGCCCCAGUCCCGUCGGAAAAACGAGCUUGACGGGCGAUUGGAUUUCUGCAACAAUGAGUAAAAAUCAAUAAACACAAAUUUUAGGAUUGCUGGCGAAUUCUAGCAAGGGACCAGUGCUGAUCAUCAAGAUGGGAAGUGCGCGGAUGAUGAUUUUCUAACAGAUGUAUGAAACCGGUAAAAUUUUGAAUUUGUGAGGAUGAAGUUGAAAUGGGUAAAGUAUGGGAAGAGCUUGUUCCAAGGAGAGAUCCAACUUUUGAAGGAGAGUGGUGUCAACUAACAUUUUGCAAGGAGACUAUAGAAGAGUAUAGGAGUAGCAGUGAUACAGAAUCAAGCAGGCAAAGAAAGGAGCAUCAAGAAGCUCUUAAACCAGCUUAGUAUUUCUGAGUUAAUAAUUCCUGUCUAUUACAAGAAUAUAUUGUGGAUAAUGGGACAUUAUUGUAAAAUUUUGAGACCUUAUCCAUCAUGAGUUCAUAUUUAGUGUUGCAUGGACAUGGUUGCAGCCAAGGUUCGCUGUACCGGUCGGUACCGGUCCGGUACCGAGCGUACCGUACCCGUACCGAUGGGUACCGGU